UUGUCUUCAUCCUCUGCAAGUUGUCUCCUCGGCUGCUAUAAAUAGAAGCUGCUCUUCUUUUAAACUUAACCGGGUUUUUCCUUUUUUUUUUUGGUUGGUUCAUCUAGGGGGUGUCGUUUGUAAUGAUAUAAGUAUAGAAGAAUCUGUUAAGCUCAGGAGGGAUAGCGCCAUGGAUGAUCUUCAGCCUGAUCCUCAUUAGCGCUAUCCAUCCUGAGUUACAUGGCUUCUUCUUGCUCUUGCACUGCAUGAUGUCUCCUCUCCCACUCCCAUCGAGAAUAAGAUGAAUUCAUGCGACUACCUAGUGCUCCAUUAUCUUCUCUUCUAUUAUCUAGGCUCUACCAAUCUUACGGAAAAAAACUACCCAGUUUUUGUUGGUUAAAUAUGUAUUGAGCUGUCUCGGCCACUAUUCGUACAUGGAACUGAUCAUAUGUAGCAAGGAACAGUUGGAGCUUGAGUGGGAGAUGAUGAGAGAUUGCUGCUUAAUUGUUUCGUACUUGGUAUAAGCCAUACACGUUCGGGUCAUUUCUUGUACCAAGCAAGGCUUCCUCUUUUAGCAUUUGUAUUGUUCAUUUCCAGUGAUAGGUAUCACAGCUCAAGGACAAGGUAACAUCAUGACUCAAAUUGGAUGAUUGAUCUUCUUCUUCAAUUAGUGCAGAAGGUAGCGACGCUGCUAAGAUCUGUGUCCCGACUUUGGAGGAAAGUACUCUUCAAAUCAAUUCUCAACAUCGCGAUUCUCAUUAUUGCCUCAACUUUUAGAAUAACUUUGGGCAUAAAGUCACAAAUUUUAUCAGUCUAUCUAUGUUGGGACUUCAUUGUUAGUUUAACUCACUAUCCUUGCAUUAGGACCUUUCACCUAGAA